UACAGAGGGUGCGAGCGUUAAUCGGAAUUACUGGGCGUAAAGGGUGCGUAGGCGGAUAUUUAAGUUAGAUGUGAAAUCCCCGGGCUUAACCUGGGAAUGGCAUUUAAGACUGGAUGACUAGAGUAGAGUAGAGGGUAGUGGAAUUUCCGGUGUAGCGGUGAAAUGCGUAGAUAUCGGAAAGAACAUCAGUGGCGAAGGCGGCUACCUGGACUCAUACUGACGCUGAGGCACGAAAGCAUGGGGAGCAAACAGG
rnacentral:rRNA from 1 species